rnacentral:rRNA from 1 species
GCAGUCGAGGGGUACAGAAAAGCUUGCUUUUGCUGACGACCGGCGCACGGGUGCGUAACGCGUAUGCAACCUACCUCAUACUGGAGGAUAGCCCCUGGAAACGGGGAUUAAUACUCCAUAGUAUCACAAUUUCGCAUGUUAUUGUGAUUAAAGUUUUUCGGUAUGAGAUGGGCAUGCGUCCCAUUAGCUUGUUGGUGAGGUAACGGCUCACCAAGGCAACGAUGGGUAGGGGGCCUGAGAGGGUGGUCCCCCACACUGGUACUGAGACACGGACCAGACUCCUACGGGAGGCAGCAGUGAGGAAUAUUGGUCAAUGGAGGAAACUCUGAACCAGCCAUGCCGCGUGAAGGAUGACGGCCCUAUGGGUUGUAAACUUCUUUUAUAGAGGAAGAAACUUGUCUACGUGUAGACAACUGACGGUACUCUACGAAUAAGGAUCGGCUAACUCCGUGCCAGCAGCCGCGGUAAUACGGAGGAUCCAAGCGUUAUCCGGAUUCAUUGGGUUUAAAGGGUCCGUAGGCGGAUUUUUAAGUCAGUGGUGAAAGCCGUCAGCUCAACUGUCGAACUGCCAUUGAUACUGGAAAUCUUGAGUACAAAUGAAGUAGGCGGAAUGAGUCAUGUAGCGGUGAAAUGCAUAGAUAUGACUCAGAACACCGAUUGCGAAGGCAGCUUACUAACAUGUAACUGACGCUGAGGGACGAAAGCGUGGGGAGCGAACAGGAUUAGAUACCCUGGUAGUCCACGCCGUAAACGAUCAUCACUCGCUGUUGGCGAUAUACUGUCAGCGGCCAAGCGAAAGUAUUAAGUGAUGCACCUGGGGAGUACGCCGGCAACGGUGAAACUCAAAGGAAUUGACGGGGGCCCGCACAAGCGGUGGAGCAUGUGGUUUAAUUCGAUGAUACGCGAGGAACCUUACCAGGGCUUAAAUGUAGUCUGACCGGCUUGGAAACAGGCCUUCUCUUCGGAGCAGAUUACAAGGUGCUGCAUGGUUGUCGUCAGCUCGUGCCGUGAGGUGUUUAGGUUAAGUCCUGCAACGAGCGCAACCCCUAUUCUUAGUUGCCAGCGGUUCGGCCGGGG